rfam:Picea glauca, whole genome shotgun sequence.
AGGUGCGAUCAUACAAGCGUUAAUGCACCAGAUCCCAUCAGAACUCCGCAGUUAAGCGCGCUUGGGCUAGAGUAGAACUGGGAUGGGUGACCUCCCAGGAAGUCCUAGUGUUGCAUCCU